rnacentral:lncRNA from 1 species
CUCUGCACCCCCUGAAGAAAGGAGAGAGACACCCUUCCCCAGGGUCUACCUGGGUAAUUGAUGGAGCAACGAAAGAUCCAAAAAGCCUGAAAAAGUCUCACAUUCUCUCAUCUGAGGCUCCCAGCUCCCAAUCUUCAGAUGACAUGAAAUUUGAAGACAGAUGAAUGGAACUAGAAAUGCCCAGCCUGAGUGAACUAACCCAGACCCAUAAAGACAAAUAUGGAUCAGUACCUUCUCCAGGCACAUCAGUGAGGCUUCCUCUGGCAACAGAUGGGAACAGAUGCAGAGACCCUCCACCAGACAUUAUGGAGAGAGAGAUUCUAAAUGGGAUGUCUCCAUCAAAUCCCUCCUCAGAGCUUAGAGAACCCUCCAGAAGAGGAGGAGGAAAUAGUCUUAAGAGUCAGAGGGUUUGGAGGACACCAGAAGAACACGGACCUCUGAAUCAACUAAACAAGGCUCAUAUGAGCUCACAGACUGUCGCAGCAAGCACAGGACCUACAGAGUCUGCACCAGAGUCCCAUGUAUCCCUAAGGGUCUGGCCUCAAGCUUGCUAUAUGGCUAAGAAUGACUUCUGCUUGUCCCACCUCCAUCUCCUAAAUUCUGAGAUUACAGGCCUGGGAAAAGUUCACAGUGAUCUACUUAGGUUAUCUGAUGAACCCAAACAUGGAUUAUAAAGAAACCAAUCUGGG